UACGGAGGGUGCGAGCGUUACCCGGAAUCACUGGGCGUAAAGGGCGCGUAGGCGGCCCGUUAAGUCCGGCUUUAAAGACCGAAGCUCAACUUCGGGCCUGGGCCGGGUACUGGCGGGCUAGACGACUGGAGGGGCGGGUGGAAUUCUCGGUGUAGCGGUGGAAUGCGUAGAUACCGAGAGGAACACCGGUGGCGAAGGCGGCCCGCUGGACAGUGCGUGACGCUGAGGCGCGAAAGUGUGGGGAGCGAACCGG
rnacentral:rRNA from 1 species